UACUUGCGAAAAAAAAAACUUUCUUUCCACAGGUCAUAAUCUGGUCCGACCAAAAUGAAACAUUGCCUUAGAUGUGUGUAUGUCUGUUAAUACAGAUAAGCCUAUUGGAGAAUUCCAUGCCAUCUAUCAUCAAAACUUAUCAUUCUGUUAUGGGACGAAUAGAUUUGAUGAACUCGUUAGUUGUUCUAUAUGUGAUCCAUAUUCGUAGUAAAAAUAGUACCAUAAGAUCGCAUUUCAUUUGAUAGAUGUUACAAAUGUGAACUGUUGGAUCCUCUUCAGAAUAGAUUGCAGCAUACUUCCUUCAAACAAACAUUAUUACUCACAUAUCUUACUUCUUUUCGUUGGCAAAACUAUAUAUAGGAGAGAUGGGAAACAAUUCACAAAGUCAAUUUUCGGCAAAGGAGAAGCGUUUUGGUGAUGGGAUGAAGUUUAUACCGGAUGUCCUUAUUUGGUUGGACCAAAUCUCCUACUUCCCAGAACCACUUUAUAAUCAGCAGUAAUUUAAAAUGCUGUAAUGUUCUAUGGAAAGUAAAUGGCAAAUUAGCAAAUGUAAAAAUCAGUGUCUUGUAGGAGAGAGGAAUUGCUGCGUAACAUUUCAUACUCGAUGAAUAAAUAAUGUAUUAUCCCUAAAUAGGUUUGAGUUUAUCAAGAAUAUAAUAUUAUUUUUAUA
rnacentral:lncRNA from 1 species